UACGGGGGGAGCAAGCGUUGUUCGGAUUUACUGGGCGUAAAGGGCGCGUAGGCGGUCAGCACAAGUCAGUUGUGAAAUCUCCGGGCUUAACUCGGAAAGGUCAACUGAUACUGUGCGACUAGAGUGCAGAAGGGGCAACUGGAAUUCUCGGUGUAGCGGUGAAAUGCGUAGAUAUCGAGAGGAACACCUGCGGCGAAGGCGGGUUGCUGGGCUGACACUGACGAUGAUGCGCGAAAGCCAGGGGAGCGAACGGG
rnacentral:rRNA from 1 species